rnacentral:tRNA from 1 species
AGGCUAAUGGCUCAAUUGGUAGAGCAUCGGUCUCCAAAACCGAGGGUUGCGGGUUCGAGUCCUGCUUGGCCUG